GACGAACGCUGGCGGCGUGCUUAACACAUGCAAGUCGAACGGUGAAGGGGUCUGCUUUUGUGGGCCCUGGAUGAGUGGCGAACGGGUGAGUAACACGUGAGUAACCUGCCCCCUUCUUCUGGAUAACCGCAUGAAAGUGUGGCUAAUACGGGAUAUUCUGGGUCUGUCGCAUGAUGGGUCUGGGAAAGAUUGCGCCUUUGGGUGUUUUUGGUGGGGGAUGGGCUCGCGGCCUAUCAGCUUGUUGGUGGGGUGAUGGCCUACCAAGGCGGUGACGGGUAGCCGGCCUGGGAGGGUGGACGGUCACACUGGGACUGAGACACGGCCCAGACUCCUACGGGAGGCAGCAGUGGGGAAUAUUGCACAAUGGGCGCAAGCCUGAUGCAGCGACGCCGCGUGAGGGAGGGAGGCCUUCGGGUUGUAAACCUCUUUCGCCAGUGAAGCAGGCCUGCUCCUUGUGGGUGGGUUGACGGUAGCUGGAUAAGAAGCGCCGGCUAACUACGUG
rnacentral:rRNA from 1 species